rnacentral:rRNA from 1 species
UACGUAGGGGGGCAAGCGUUGUCCGGAUUUAUUGGGCGUAAAGAGCGUGUAGGCGGCCAAGUAAGUCUGCUGUGAAAACUCGAGGCUUAACCUCGAGCUGUCGGCGGAAACUAUUUGGCUAGAGUCCGGAAGAGGAGAAUGGAAUUCCCGGUGUAGCGGUGAAAUGCGCAGAUAUCGGGAAGAACACCCGUGGCGAAGGCGGCUCG